AACAGGAUUAGAUACCCUGGUAGUCCACGCCGUAAACGAUGUCGACUUGGAGGUUGUGCCCUUGAGGCGUGGCUUCCGGAGCUAACGCGUUAAGUCGACCGCCUGGGGAGUACGGCCGCAAGGUUAAAACUCAAAUGAAUUGACGGGGGCCCGCACAAGCGGUGGAGCAUGUGGUUUAAUUCGAUGCAACGCGAAGAACCUUACCUACUCUUGACAUCCAGAGAACUUAGCAGAGAUGCUUUGGUGCCUUCGGGAACUCUGAGACAGGUGCUGCAUGGCUGUCGUCAGCUCGUGUUGUGAAAUGUUGGGUUAAGUCCCGCAACGAGCGCAACCCUUAUCCUUUGUUGCCAGCGGUUCGGCCGGGAACUCAAAGGAGACUGCCAGUGAUAAACUGGAGGAAGGUGGGGAUGACGUCAAGUCAUCAUGGCCCUUACGAGUAGGGCUACACACGUGCCACAAUGGCAUAUACAAAGAGAAGCGACCUCGCGAGAGCAAGCGGACCUCAUAAAGUAUGUCGUAGUCCGGAUUGGAGUCUGCAACUCGACUCCAUGAAGUCGGAAUCGCUAGUAAUCGUGGAUCAGAAUGCCACGGUGAAUACGUUCCCGGGCCUUGUACACACCGCCCGUCACACCAUGGGAGUGGGUUGCAGAAGAAGUAGGUAGCUUAACCUUCGGGAGGGCGCUUACCACUUUGUGAUUCAUGACUGGGGUGAAGUCGUAACAAGGUAACC
rnacentral:rRNA from 1 species